rnacentral:rRNA from 1 species
GCUGGCGGUGCGCCUUAUGCAUGCAAGUCGAGCGAAGCUUUUCAGUAGUUUACUACAGAAAAUGACUGAGCGGCGAACGGGUGAGUAACGCGUGAGCAACCUACCUUAGUUACUGGGAUAGCCCGAGGAAACUCGGAUUAAUACCGGAUAUUCUUAUUUGAUCACAUGAUUUUUUAAGGAAAGGUCAGCCGAACUAAGAUGGGCUCGCGUUCUAUCAGCUAGUUGGUAGGGUAAUGGCCUACCAAGGCUACGACGGAUAGCUGGUCUGAGAGGACGAUCAGCCACACUGGGACUGAGACACGGCCCAGACUCCUACGGGAGGCUGCAGCAGGGAAUAUUGCGCAAUGAGCGAAAGCUUGACGCAGCGACACCGCGUGUGGGAUGACGGAUCUAGGUUUGUAAACCACUUUCAGGAGGGAAGAAAAUGACGGUACCUCCACAAGAAGCCCCGGCCAACUACGUGCCAGCAGCCGCGGUAAUACGUAGGGGGCGAGCGUUGUCCGGAUUUAUUGGGCGUAAAGAGCUCGUAGGCGGUUCAACAAGUCGGUCGUGAAAGUUCAGGGCUCAACCCUGAAAUGUCGAUCGAUACUGUUGUGACUAGGAUACGGUAGAGGUGAGUGGAAUUCCGAGUGUAGCGGUGAAAUGCGUAGAUAUUCGGAGGAACACCAAUUGCGAAGGCAGCUCACUGGGCCGCUAUCGACGCUGAGGAGCGAAAGCUAGGGGAGCAAACAGGAUUAGAUACCCUGGUAGUCCUAGCUGUAAACGAUGGAUACUAGACGUAGGAAUUGGAUUAACGGUUUCUGUGUCGUAGCUAACGCGUUAAGUAUCCCGCCUGGGGAGUACGGU